UUAUUAUCAUCAUCAUCAUCAUUAACGGUUGCCGUGUUUAUUGUUGCGGUAUUUAUUGUAAUUAUUACCGUUAUUGUUUCUGCCUCUAGCAGACCAUAAUUCCACGGAACAGGCAAUAACUACCAGUAAAACUACAUAGAUUCAUACCACUACUUGUUCUCUGACAGUAUUGGGAGAAUUGGUACAGCCAGCAUACAGUAAACAUACAUACAUACACACAUAAUACAUACAUACACACAUAAUACAUACAUACAUACAUACAUAUACACACACAUACAUAUAUUUUAUACAUGUGCACCAGUACGGAUAGGUGCGCAAUAUUAUCCCUGACCAGUAAACUUGUGCGCACACUUAAAAGUGACGCAUAUCACACACAUAUUUCUUCGGAAUCUCAAGAACACAGACGCAUACACAUACACAUACGCACACACAGACACACACCGACACACACUCACAUGCAGAAAGACGUGUACGCAUGCACAAAUGAAACUAGAUAAACACGCGUGCGCGAAGCUGAUAGAUUCUCAUACACACUAACGCUCUGGUUUAUGCACACAUAUAUAAUAAACAAAGGAACACACACACACAUUCUAACACUCAAAACCCUCACUCUAUCUCUCUCUCUCUAUCGCUCACUCUUCCCAUCUCGUUCUCUCUCCCUCGUAAAUCUCUCCGUUUCUCUCCUAAACACACAAACACGCACACACAUACAUACACGCAUCUAUAUAUAUUUAUAUAGCGACACUUCAUCCACGUACAUAGCAUGCGAUAAGGUUUUAGUUAGGCGAAGCACCUUGCGCAAAACCGAAUUUGUUUUCACAGUUGGCGGUAAAAUUUCCUCCCGUUCUGCAAACGAAUUGCAUUACAACUGGUUCUUUUUUCAUUUACCUAAAUAAUUUCACUGAAUCAACAACUUUACCUUUCUUUCACACACACAAUAGUUCCUUUCUCAAAACCCUAUCGCUCUCCUUGAAACUUUUUCAUUUUCCUUUUGUUAUUCAAAUAAGAUCAUUCCGUAAUUGAGAAAACAAAUUUGUUUUACUUCUCACGGAAGGAGAAUAGUAACUGACAGGCUGAAACACAGUGGAGAAAACGUCAACAAUUUGAUAAUAAUAUAUUGAUAAAACUAGUCAUACUUGAAAGCCGACCAAUAGGAAAAGAGCCUGUCAGUUUAAUCAGAAUUUUUUUUUUUACCUUCAAUAGACGAAAGUAAGGCAUUUGAUAUCAGCCGUGUUCGCUUUUGAUUUAUAUAAUAACCACUCACUAACAAAACUUAAACAAACACCACUGCGAACACUCUACUUACGAAGAGUUCAUUUACCUCGGUUAACGUGGACACCACAUCGGUUAAAUCACUUUCGGCACCUAAAAGUACCAGAGGUCUUACGGAAAUGGACAAUUGACUCAACGGCCAAAACAACUUGAAAG